UACGGAGGGUGCAAGCGUUGUCCGGAUUUAUUGGGUUUAAAGGGUGCGUAGGCGGCCCGUUAAGUCAGUGGUGAAAGCCUCCAGCUCAACUGGAGAACUGCCAUUGAUACUGACAGGCUUGAGUACAGACGAGGUUGGCGGAAUUGAUUGUGUAGCGGUGAAAUGCAUAGAUACAAUCAAGAACUCCGAUUGCGUAGGCAGCUAACUAGGCUGUAACUGACGCUGAGGCACGAAAGCGUGGGGAGCGAACAGG
rnacentral:rRNA from 1 species